rnacentral:lncRNA from 1 species
CUAAGAACCCUGAUUGACCAGGAAGAAAAAAAAUUAAGUCUGAAUCAUGUCCCUCAAGAGCUUGGCACACACGUGAUUUCAAUACAGUCCGUGUUCUGGAGGAAAGACGGGACUCUUGGAGCUUCAGUAAGGAACACAAAGGCCUUUGACUGCAAGGAACUCAGUCUACUGGGAGAGAUGGAUACAUCAACAGAAUCAUCGAAAUGCCUUUCCUUUAAAGCAAAGACCAUUCAGAAUCAAAGGCUCAUUUCCUGGAAAUACAGGGCUGGACGGCAGCCAUCCCUCAAAUGAGGCCCCAUGGAGAAGACUUGGAAAUGCACGCUCCCAACUCAGGUUUCCAGUGGAUGCAUAUUAAACCCCAAGGACUGGAAGCUGAGGUCAUGGAUUGCUUUCUCAUUGCUGUCAAGGUGCCCAAAAAAAAGAGACACUGUUUGCACCCCCGGGCUCACUGGUUCAGUCUUUCUCCUUCUUCCCCGGCUUCUCACCACUCCUCAUGCACUGUCGGUGGAAGCCCUGCCUCUACCUGCAAUAGGAAACUGAGCCGAGAGACGGUCCCCUUAUGGCCUCUAACCUGCGCAUCUCAGGCACGAGGAAAUACGGAAGCAGGACAAGAAGCAAGAAAACAGAGACCAAGAGAGAGGCCGAAGCAAAUUAAUGCUGAACACUGGGGAGAAGCCCAUCCUUCUUCAGCUGCUGGUGAGUCAGUAUGA